rnacentral:rRNA from 1 species
CCUGCCGAUAACUCUGGAAUAGCCUUUCGAAAGAAAGAUUAAUACCGGAUGGCAUACGAAUAUCGCAUGAUAUUUUUAUUAAAGAAUUUCGGUUAUCGAUGGGGAUGCGUUCCAUUAGUUUGUUGGCGGGGUAACGGCCCACCAAGACAACGAUGGAUAGGGGUUCUGAGAGGAAGGUCCCCCACAUUGGAACUGAGACACGGUCCAAACUCCUACGGGAGGCAGCAGUGAGGAAUAUUGGUCAAUGGGCGAGAGCCUGAACCAGCCAAGUAGCGUGAAGGAUGAAGGCUCUAUGGGUCGUAAACUUCUUUUAUAUGGGAAUAAAGUUUUCCACGUGUGGAAUUUUGUAUGUACCAUAUGAAUAAGGAUCGGCUAACUCCGUGCCAGCAGCCGCGGUAAUACGGAGGAUCCGAGCGUUAUCCGGAUUUAUUGGGUUUAAAGGGAGCGUAGGUGGAUUGUUAAGUCAGUUGUGAAAGUUUGCGGCUCAACCGUAAAAUUGCAGUUGAAACUGGCAGUCUUGAGUACAGUAGAGGUGGGCGGAAUUCGUGGUGUAGCGGUGAAAUGCUUAGAUAUCACGAAGAACUCCGAUUGCGAAGGCAGCUCACUAGACUGUUACUGACACUGAUGCUCGAAAGUGUGGGUAUCAAACAGGAUUAGAUACCCUGGUAGUCCACACAGUAAACG